UACGUAGGGGGCAAGCGUUGUUCGGAAUUACUGGGCGUAAAGGGCGCGUAGGCGGCAUGGCAAGUCGGGAGUGAAAGCCCGGGGCUCAACCCCGGAGGGUCUCUCGAAACUGCCGAGCUAGAGUGCGGAAGAGGCAAUCGGAAUUCCCAGUGUAGCGGUGAAAUGCGUAGAUAUUGGGAAGAACACCGGAGGCGAAGGCGGAUUGCUGGGCCGACACUGACGCUGAGGCGCGAAAGCCAGGGGAGCAAACGGG
rnacentral:rRNA from 1 species